AGAGUUUGAUCCUGGCUCAGAUUGAACGCUGGCGGCAGGCCUAACACAUGCAAGUCGAGCGGCAGCGACUUAACUGAACCUUCGGGGAACGUUAAGGGCGGCGAGCGGCGGACGGGUGAGUAAUGCCUGGGAAUAUGCCCUGAUGUGGGGGAUAACUAUUGGAAACGAUAGCUAAUACCGCAUAAUCUCUUCGGAGCAAAGAGGGGGACCUUCGGGCCUCUCGCGUCAGGAUUAGCCCAGGUGGGAUUAGCUUGUUGGUGAGGUAAUGGCUCACCAAGGCAACGAUCCCUAGCUGGUCUGAGAGGAUGAUCAGCCACACUGGAACUGAGACACGGUCCAGACUCCUACGGGAGGCAGCAGUGGGGAAUAUUGCACAAUGGGGGAAACCCUGAUGCAGCCAUGCCACGUGUGUGAAGAAGGCCUUCGGGUUGUAAAGCACUUUCAGUAGGGAGGAAGGUAGUGUAGUUAACACCUGCAUUACUUGACGUUACCUACAGAAGAAGCACCGGCUAACUCCGUGCCAGCAGCCGCGGUAAUACGGAGGGUGCGAGCGUUAAUCGGAAUUACUGGGCGUAAAGCGCAUGCAGGCGGCCUGUUAAGUCAGAUGUGAAAGCCCGGGGCUUAACCUCGGAAUUGCAUUUGAAACUGGCAGGCUAGAGUCUUGUAGAGGGGGGU
rnacentral:rRNA from 1 species